UNGGGAAUCUUCGGCAAUGGACGGAAGUCUGACCGAGCAACGCCGCGUGAGUGAAGAAGGUUUUCGGAUCGUAAAGCUCUGUUGUAAGAGAAGAACGAGUGUGAGAGUGGAAAGUUCACACUGUGACGGUAUCUUACCAGAAAGGGACGGCUAACUACGUGCCAGCAGCCGCGGUAAUACGUAGGUCCCGAGCGUUGUCCGGAUUUAUUGGGCGUAAAGCGAGCGCAGGCGGUUAGAUAAGUCUGAAGUUAAAGGCUGUGGCUUAACCAUAGUAGGCUUUGGAAACUGUUUAACUUGAGUGCAAGAGGGGAGAGUGGAAUUCCAUGUGUAGCGGUGAAAUGCGUAGAUAUAUGGAGGAACACCGGUGGCGAAAGCGGCUCUCUGGCUUGUAACUGACGCUGAGGCUCGAAAGCGUGGGGAGCAAACAGGAUUAGAUACCCUGGUAGUCCACGCUGUAAACGAUGAGUGCUAGGUGUUAGACCCUUUCCGGGGUUUAGUGCCGUAGCUAACGCAUUAAGCACUCCGCCUGGGGAGUACGACCGCAAGGUUG
rnacentral:rRNA from 1 species